rnacentral:lncRNA from 10 species
CUCAGGGAAGCUGUGACCCCACGGGUGCUGCCCAGAGAGAUCGGGCCAGGUGGAGCCAAGAUGGACUGGAAUUCCCCGACGGGGACAAGGGGCCGGACGAGGCUGACUUGCCCUGUCUGAUGAAUGGUCAGGUUUGCUUUUUCUCCUGAAAACACGAGGCAGUGAUCCCGGCCAGCUAAUUCCAGCAGACUGGAGACGGGAUGGUGGAGAAUGAGGCUGUGGGCGGGAAGAGCAGAUGGGACUCGCCAGCAUCCUCACGGCAGGGCCGCGCUAUUGCCCUCCCUCCCCUCCUACUCUCUGGGGUCCCAGGAGCCCCAGAUACGCAAUGCUGCCAGGCGAUUUCUGGCGCCCCGCAGACCCCUGCCCCUGGAGUUGGGCCAGGUCCCGGCUGGAGCAAAGGGGGCUCCUUCAAGCCCGCUCCUCCCUGUCAAACCCGAGGAGCCUGACAGGCGCAGCGUCACCAGCGUCACCGGGCCAUAGUGAGCGGCCAAGCCAGCGUCACCGGGCCAUAGUGAGCGGCCAAGCCAGCGUCACCGGGCCAUAGUGAGCCGCCAAGCCAGCGUCACCGGGCCAUAGUGAGCCGCCAAGCCAGUGUCACCGGGCCAUAGUGAGCGGCCAAGCCUUGGUCUGCCAGAGCCGGCCGCACCAGAAGGAUUUCUGGGUCCCCAGUCCUGGAGGAGCACACGGUUUACACCAGGCCUUGGGAGGGGAAGAGGCAAGGCGUGGGCCCAGCCCUCACUCCCCAGGAGAAACCCUGUUUGAGCGGCAGAGGAGACUGGAGAGACCCCAGGGCGGGGAUCCCUGAGAGGAGAGAAACCCGGAAUUCAUCCACGGAGGCGUUCACCCAGAGGAGACCCGGAGCUUCUCCAGGAGAGGCUGGAUUGCUCCAACAGGGGCCCUGAGGAGCUGAUGGCAAGAGCGGAAGGCAGCUCUGACUCGUGCGUCUGACUCCAGACAACGCCAGGACCUUUGAACUCUUUAAUUCCAUGAUUCCUUGUGAUAGAUAGAAUGACCCCUCCCCCAAAGAUGUGCUUGUUCAAAUCCCUAGACCCUGUGAAUAUGUUAUGUUACAUAUUACACAAUUGAAAAGAGACUUUUAAUGAGGGUUGCGGUCUUAUGACAUCAUCUGGACGGGCCCAGCCUGAGCACGUGAGCCUUCGAGGGCAGAGAACGUUCCCUGGCCCGUGCUGGAGCGAUUCACUGGCUCAUGAUACGGAGAUCAUCUGGACGGGCCCAGCCUGAGCACGUGAGCCUUCGAGGGCAGAGAACGUUCCCUGGCUCGUGCUGGAGCGAUUCACUGGCUUGGAAAAGAAGGGGAGGAUGAUGGGGAAUGUGGGACCUUCAGGAGCAGAAGCCCCAGCUGACAGCCAGGAGGGAGAGGGGGCCCUGGGCUCACAAUUGCAAAAACCUGAAUUCUGCCGACAACAAUAAUGGGCUCAGAAGCGGGUCCUCUCCCAGGCCUCCCGCUCAGAGCCCAGCCGGCCAACGCCUGGACUCUGGCCGAGAGACUCUCGGCAGCAAAUCCAGUGGAGCCCCCCGACUUCUGACACCAGAAACCGUCUGUGAGUGCAGGUCUGCGUUCUCAAGCCGCUAAACUCACGGAGAUUUCUACGCAGCUGCAGAAGAUGAAUGCAUCUCCCUUCUACGCCUUCUGCUGUGGCGGCCGAGACGGAGCUUAAUGUCACUCCCCUUGAGUGUGGACUGAAUUUAGUGACUCAAUUUCCAAGAAUUGAGCAAGAAAAGGGAAAAAUAAUAACUUUAUGUUGGAGAAAUGCACAGAGUUCACCUUGCCCAAGUGAUCAAAGGUGACUUCACAGUGGUAAGUCAGGACAAUACCCUGCACCCUGACGUGAUGUCGUGAAAGGGCACUCGCGUACGUGGUAUUCUCUCCACAAGUCCAUAACCCACGGCAAUUGUGAGUAAGCCUCAGACAAACCCCCACCGCGGGUCACUCUCCGACAUUGCUGGCAAUCCUCUUCAAGAGUGUGCAGGUUAUGAAAGGCCAGGACACACUGAGAAAGGGUCCCAGAUGUGAGGAGACGAAGGAGAUUUGACAGGAGAAGCAUGAUGGGAUCCUGGAACAGAGCAAGAACGUUAGUGAAGAACAGGUGAAAUGCUGCUAGAGCCUGUUGGUUCUUUGAUAAUAGCGUACCAAAAACAAUUUUUUAGUUUUGAUAACUGUACCAUGGUUAUGUAAUACAUUAACACUGGGGAAGCUCAGUGAAUAUGUGGACUCUUGGACUAUUUUUAUAACGCUUCUUGUGUAGAAGGUCUAAAAUGAUCUCAGAAUACAAAUUUAAAUAAAUUAAUUUAAUGCUCAAAACACCCUUGAUUGGAACUUACAGCUGGCCCUCUGUAUUCAUGGGUUCAACCAAUCACUAAUUAAAAAUAUUGGAAACAAAAAUUGCAUCUGUACUGACCAUAUGCAGACUUUUUCUUGUUAUUAUUCCCUGAAUAACACAGUAUACCGACUCUUUACAUAGCAUUUACAGCACAUUAGGUAUUGUAAGUAACACAGAGAUGAUCUGAAGCAUAUGGGAGGGUGUGUGGAGGUGGUAUGCAAACACUGCACCAUUUUACAGCACGGACUUGAGCAUCUGCAGAUUUUGGCAUCUCCGGG